ensembl:lncRNA
AGAAACUAAUCAAGAGAAUGCACUCUCACUGACAAUUUUGAAAAUGUUCAUUUAUGAAACUAACAUUGAUUUAUUUGUGUAUUUUUGUUUUAAUAUAGCAUACCUGUAAAUCAGAGAUAAGUGCAUACGUUGAAUUCACAGUAUCCAAACCACUAUCUACUGUUUACACUGUUGAUCUGACAGGAUCUUAUCUUGGGCAAGACGAUAAAUUUGGAGUCUUCUGAGAGCCGGGUCUGCAGCUCUGAGCUAAAAGUGUGUGGCGCCCCGGCCGCUGGCUGUGAAGAAAUGUUCCAGCGCUGCCUACCGCAAAUGUGUGUUCGUCGUUUCCGGCAGAAUUCUCGAGCAGACGUCUGCGAGAUCUUUACACGAG